CAGACUUUAGGCAGAAAAGGUAAUUUCCUUCAAGAUGGACUGAGCUGAUAUAAUUAGUUCUUUGUUUCAGCCACCAAAUUGAAAACGUGCCGCCUUGUUUCUUUCUUCCUGCCUCUCACUGAUGGCGAAGUCAUUUCUGUCUGCUUUUGUGUUUGCCGCCUCUCGUAGUCUCCUUGGCACUUGGAUCUGCCAACACUUUGGAAUUACAGAUGUACACGAACAGAGGAAGCCAGGUGCAAUGACUGAGAGGAUGAAGGAAGUGCUCCAGAUGGGGGACCCAUAAGAGCUGUGGGAACAGAGGAGACAUCACCCCAUCCCUGUGCACAGAGCUCCAGCUCACAGCUCCACUGGCCCUGUGCAGCCCAGCUGUGUGUACUGCAUCGUGAGCAGGUGGGUGUGAAGUGUUCUCAUUGCUGCAGGGUUAUCCAGGUCUCUUUGCCCUCAGGAUUUGAUCAC
rnacentral:lncRNA from 1 species